CGAAUGAUUAUCAUUGUUAUAUUUUCAGUUCAUUGGUGAUCGGCGUAAGUGAAUUGACUGACGAUUCAGAAGAUGACGAGGAAUUCAGUUCGAAGCACAGAAAACGGAAAAGACAACUGGCUCUGUCAGAUCCUGUCUACACAUGCAACCUCAUGUCCUACGUCUCAGAACAGGUGAAUAAUCUGCGAAUGCGAUUGAAUGCAGAGCAAUUCAUUGAUGCCCUGCAGACUGUUGAUGACGAAACUCUGCAAAAUAUACGACAAUUUGUGCCACUAUGACUGCCUUACGCCACCUCUAAUACAUCUUCCAUUGAUUACUCUACAUACCACCACCAAUAAUUUAUUAUAAUCAAGAGAGUCAUCAUUAACGACAUCACAAUUAUCUAUUAUUGUUACGUAAACAUGCUUGCGAGGCCAGAUUCGAAGGUUAGGCUAGCUAGAGGCUAAUUCGAAGUUAGCAGUUACCAUUAAAAAAAGAAAAAUUAAUCGAUUUAUAAUAGUUGUGUAAAGUUUUUAUUAAGGAAUCAUUGUUAUGUGUGAAAGACAACAGUGUAAAGAUUAACAGAUUUCACCGACUUGUGGAGCUAAAUUCAACACUGUUUUCAAAUAAUAUGUAGAAAUACUUAAUUAAUACUUUGUACUUUGUCUGUACAUAGAUAGCAUAUGCGUUGUUUUGUCCUAUAUGUAUGGAUUUAUUGAUACAAAACUUGGUUGUCAAUGCUCAAUGCAGCCUAGAGGUCCCACGUUUGAUUCCAACUAUGACCAAACGUUUUUAGUGAGGAGACAUUCCCGUGUGUUUUCGAAUGAACACAAUAUAGGCGGUCGCGGUAGUGAGGCCUAUCCACGAUCAAAGUGUUACCAACAUAUUGACUGAACCAGUUUUUCGAAUUCAACGAAACAUUGGCAAUCAUAAGAGUUGAUGGAGAAUCGCAUUUUAAUGUCAAAAAUCAAAUCUGAACAACUAUCUCUUGUAAAAGUGAGACAUAACCCUAAUUUAUUUAUUUAAUCAAAUAACUACACAUCUGAACAACUAUCUCUUGUGAAAGUGAGACAUAACCCUAAUUUAUUCAUUUAUUCGAACAUUUACAAAUCAUAAUAUACUUACUUAAGAUGGGGAGAGAACAACAGGCCACCCCAAAACUAUUCUUUCAAAUGGUAAUAUGUAGUAAUGAAUAAUAUUUAAUUAUGGAACAAUACUUAUGUGACCUAUGACCUAUGUGAAAACAGUGUAGAAUGCUGUAGUCUGCACUCUUAAGGUUGUGCAAAGGCUAAAAAAUACUUUCUACUGGUGAAAUUUUUUCGAUUUGUUUACAAUCAAGCUAUCAAAAUGAAUUUUUUUUUCUCUGAUCAUUACUUUUUGAGAUAUGAGCGCAGAUUAAAUUUUUGGGACAGGUCAUUACAAAUUCGGUAAGAGGUAAAAUCCAUGAAAUUUUUAGGAUAAAUUCUUCAUGUUAUUGUUGAUUGAAUAAAAUGAAAAUUUUCUGAAAAUAUUAAUUUUUGUGAAAGUUAUUCUAUUUACCAAAAAUAACUUUUAGUUGAGUUAUUGAACUGUAUAACUUUCUCAAAAAUUGAUAUUUUCAGAAAAUGUUUGUUUUGUUGUAUCACCAAUAAAGAUGCCAAUAAAGAUAUUGUAUCACCAAUGGAGAACGUAUCCUAAAAAUUUCAUGCCUCUUACCGAAUUUGUAAAGACCUGUCCCAAAAAUUUAAACUUUAUGCACUCAUAUCUCAAAAAGUAAUGAUCGGAGAAAAAUAUUUUCCUGCGAAAACUUUCUCAUUUUGAUAGCUUGAUUGUAUACAAAUCGAAAACCUGUAAAAAAUGUCACCAGUAGAAAGUUUUUUUAGCCUUUGCACAGCUUUAAGAGGAGCCUCUCUUCCUCGUAAUCACAUUCUUUGUUUUAUUAACUUAGUUCACCUUGAUAGAUCAUCGUAAUUCAUUAUUCUUUCAUUCUCUUUGUAAAUAAGUUGAGGAAUAAUAUUGAUGUGUUGGGACAAGAAGAAGUGUUUGUCGUUGUUGUUAGUGUUGGUGUGUGUAUAAACGAAAGACUGAUUUAUCUUGAUGCUGAAAUGUUAAGCUUUUGUAUAUUCUCCUCUCCUAUUACUUAAUUUAAAUACUGUAUUUUUAAUCAAUUAAUAUUUGAAAAAUAUUAUCAACUAUUUCGUGAAAAUGUAAUUUUUAAAAUGUUCUGAGUAUCCGGUACUAUUCAAAUAAACUGGCAGUAUUCUUGUCAUGAUGAUGCACGAUCGUCCAUUUGCUACACACUGCCAAGUUAUAUGAAUUGUAUUGGAAAAUUUUGAGUUUGCUCAAAGUGCAGUUGGUUAUAAAUUUGUGUCUCUGUUAUUUUUUCUGGGUUUGUUUAAACUAGUUUUAUUAAACAUUUUUAAGAAU